UGUACUUAUUGAUGCCAUCAAGCCUUUCUUGCCUCAGUCAAGUGGUUGAAGCACUGUGUUUUUAAAUAAAGGUGUUCUUCUUACAGUGCCAGUUCCCAUAAUCCUUGUUCCAAAACUUGUAUUUCCUCUGCAUACCUGCAAGUCAUCUUCACUGUCCCAUUAGUGCUGCUAUCAUGAGUAGUUCUCAGUAAUUUUUAUGGUGACCAAUUUCAAGUGCAUGACUAAACAGGAUGGUAGCACCUUUGUAAAAGUCCAUAGAUUGGAGCAAUCCCUUCCUGGCAGGCCAGCUUUUCCCUGGCCAUGUGCAGCAAUGCUAGCUCAUCUCGUUUUUAUCUGCAGAGGUCUGCAUAGUAAAUGCAUAAAAAUGCAUAGAAGACAACUUUACACCUCUUUCUUGGGUUGUUACUGUACAUCUUGUUGCUCGUGCAGUGUUUGCCCUGGCUUGCGUAGGUCACAAAAAAAGGCGACCUUACUUCUGUAAGAUUUAGAAACAUAGAAUAUCCCGAACUGGAAGGGACCCACAAAGAUCAUCGAGUCCAACUCCUGGUCCUGCACAGGUCAUCCCCAAGAGUCACACCCUGUGCCUGAGAGCAUUGAACAAACACUUCUUGAACUCUGUUGGGCUCAGUGCUGUGACCACUUCCCUGGGGAGCCUGUUCCAGUGCCCAAACGCCCUGUGGGGUGAAGAACCUUUUCCUACUAUCCAGUCUAAAACUUCGCUGACACAGCUUCAGGCCAUUCCCUCCGGGUUGUCACUGUCUCCACAGAGAAGAGAUCAGUGCCUGCCCUUCCUCUUCGUCUCAUGUGGAAGUUGUAGACUGAGUUGAGACCUCUCCUCAGUCUCCUCUUUUCCAGGCUGAACAGACCAAGUGACCUCAGCCACUCCUCACAUGCUUCCCCUCCAGAUCCUCCACAUUCUCAAGGCCUCUCUGCCUUCACUUAUACCACUCCUUGAGAAUGUGCUGUCGAGGAUUUUUUGCAGGACAAUGGACACAUUCAGCAGAUGCACAAUCCAGCCUUCUGGUAACAAAGUAACCAGUUCAAGGAACGGGGACAGUGAAUCCUUGAAGACAGAAAAAAGAAGAAUCAGCGAGAAUCAGCAAAGUUGUCAGCAAAGUUCGGGAAAGUAAAAAAAAAAAAAAAAAAGAAGAUUAAGGGUGGGCCAGAUGACCACAGCAAUACGCGUGAAGAAUUGGGUGAUCCAAUCAGCAUUUAAUCUUAGCUGCGUGGACAGUGAGGAUUAACAAUCAUGUAUUAGCUAGAGGAGCGUGGACAGCAGAAUAUAUUAUAAAUAUAGGCUUCUGUAUAAUAAAGUUGGCUUGACUUGAUCAUAUUGAUCAUGGUGUGAUGUCCCAUUUCUGAUCCUCUGCACUGCAUUUCUGCAUUUCUGGUGACCCAAGCGAUGUGAUACCGUCCAUGUCCAAGGGACCUAAAGAUGGCAGCUUGGCUGCAGAGGAUCAGCGACAGUCUUCAGGAAGUGGGGAAGCCGGUCGAAAGUAUCCUCACUGCCCCGGAGAGAGGAAAAGAGUAGCAGUCUGGAGCUCCAGAUCCAUGUGAAGACCACUUGAAUCUCACCCUGAUCAGGUGUUAUCCUUGUUGGAGCAUCAGCGUAUGGAGGACAGACCAUGGAGAUCUGAGAGUCCAGUGUCUGGGAUGACAGUGUUUACUGAUGCAGAUAAAGGUAUUCACUGGGUGCCAGCUAAGUGGGUAAAGCCCUACUUGAAAACACCGACAUCAGUCCAUGCUAUCCUCAGAGGCAGAACGUUGGCGAUCGCACCGAAUCUGGAUACAUCUGGAUCCACUUCUCCAACACCUGACGGCUGAUCAAUGCUCGGAAUUUUUCCCGCGGCUGCUGGAGAUUGCAGGAGCAGGAUGGCUACCUGGACCUAGAGUAACUGUAACUGGUACUGAUGCUUUGCCACCACUUCCAUCACAGAUUGUAAAUCAGAUUGAAAAUGCUUGUCCUGUGCAUGCAUACUCAUGACAAUGGACACAUUCAGCAGAUGCACAAUCCAGCCUUCUGGUAACAAAGUAACCAGUUCAAAGGAAUGGGGACAGUGAAUCCUUGCAGACAGA